GACAGAGGCCCCGAGCGUUAGGCGGAAUCACUGGGCUUAAAGCGUGUGUAGGCGGACCGGUAAGUACCUUGUGAAAUCCCACGGCUCACCCGUGGAACUGCUGGGUAUACUGCCGGUCUUGGGCCAACUAGGGGCGACUGGAACAAGCGGUGGAGCGGUGAAAUGCGUAGAUAUCGCUUGGAACGCCGAAGGUGAAAACAGGUCGCUGGGAGUGCGCCGACGCUGAGACACGAAAGCCAGGGGAGCAAACGGG
rnacentral:rRNA from 1 species